GACCCGAACAGAGACUGGGACGAACAAAGAGAGACGCGAAGCGCAUCGAAGAGCUUCGUUAAGCCCGUUAAUUCUGUACGUAAGAUAAUAUCCCACUGGUCGAUCAAUCAAUAAAAUAAUUCCUAAAAUUGUGGUGGUACCAACAUGGCCAGUUAGCUCAGAAACCCUCUACCCACUAAAAGUAGAGGCGCUUACCCACUCUAAUAGUUCGCCUUACGGCUCACCUUGGAAGUAUGGCUUACCUGAAAAACUUCCACUCCCCUCGUUGACAAUCACCAAUGAACUACGACCACGGCCAAGAUUCUUUCUACCACGACCUCGCGCGGUAACCUGUGUUGCUUUAAAAUAAAAACCGUUAUGGUACUGUUGUCACCAGUCCUCUGGCCUUGGGAAGGCCACCUCCUACAAUAGGUCAUUUAAGGCGAAAAUCCGACGGAUCAACCGUUACGGGACAGAAGCUUUAGCACUCAAUCUGUCUCUGUUGCUGCUUCCCCUAUCAAUGGUCACAUUGAUCAAUCAAUUUACGGGCGGAACCUUCCUUUAAGUCUAUCGAGUGCCUGACUUCUCUAUUGAUCUGACCCUAAACCUAAAAAGGGCUCGAUUGAGAAAGAGAGUAAAGGUGCGAAUCGGCUAAAAGGCUGAGUCCGAGACUGGGAGAAGAACUAGCAAGAAAUGCAGACUUCGCUCCUUUACUCCCUUUAGGUAAAGAUCCCCAUUGUCCAAUCUUCCUUUAAUGGAGAUAUUCUUUUAUGUCACUUCCGGUAAGAAAGGGGAUAGAUUCUCGAAAAAAAGAUGUGCGCUUCUUCUUGAUGCGGCAGACUGCCUCAGAUAGAUUAUAUGGAUGCUGAUCUGUCUCUUUAUUGGACCAAAGAGUGGCUCUCCUUGGUUCUGAGUUCGUUCCGAUGCCUGCC